AAGACUUAAAAAUAUGCCGGAUAAUAAAAUCAACAGAUUAAAAUUCAAAGGAUAUGGCGGUGUUUUUAUAUAAUCAGGGGAACCUGUUUCUUAAUUCGAUACUCCUACGAAAAUUCAUCCUCUUUCGAAUAUCAGCUUGUGUACUGCUGUCGCCUAGUAAACCUAUAAAAGAUAGUUUACAAUAAAUACAAUCUAUUUUACGUCAAGUCAAAGUGCAGCUUAUAAAGAGGAGAUAAUGGGUUACAAUCUUAAUACAGAUUACGAACGAAUAUAAUAAAACUAUUCCUAAGGUGGACUUGAAAGUAAUAUUUAAAAAAUACAAAUAUAAAAAUUUCUAAAACAUGUACACAUCGCCCGUCACUCUCAUC
rnacentral:rRNA from 1 species